GGCAAAGCCAUACUCAAAGUAAGGCCCUCGGAUAACUGACAAGAUUGUGAGGGCUGCACAUUUUGACCAAAGAUAAAUAUUCAGUAGGCUUUCUGGACUCAACCUGGAAAUGGUACGUCUGACAGCUUUAAACAGAGCAAGAAAGCCGCACUCCUGGAUUCAUCCCAGCCAAAGAGUUCUUCUGGACCUCUGGGGAGGGGUUGGAUGACAAGAUGAUGGACCUAGAGAACUGCUUUGGGUCCCAAGCAGGAACACCAGCUCUUGAGCAAUGUGACUUCCUAGAAGGCUCAAGACUUCAGCUCCAUGCCUAUUUAUCCUCUUUGUUAUGGAACAUCACCCGAGGACUCUUUGUGGUCAGCGUGAUCUGAUGGGUAUAACCAAAGCUAGCCACUUUUCCUGAACCAAAUAGUGGUGCUGAAUCAAGCCCGAGUAUAUUUACACUGGCAAGAGGGACGGAGACUCUGAAAGUGGGACAGGUCUGGAGCUCUGGUGUUAUGUCACCAGGGAAGAUAGGACAACAGAACCCAGGACAUGGGUGUGCAUGAUCUAGGUUCAAAUCCCAUCUCCCCGACACUUCUUAUUGCUGUGGGUGGUUAGGGUAGAGGCUCACUGCUUCUCAAAGUGCUGAGAAGAACUGAGAGCUCAUUCCUGAUGAGCCUCGCCCUUCCAGCGCUAAGAACAUCUGAGAGGAGGGGCAGAAUGAAUGUAAGAAUCAAGAUAGAGAGUGUGAUGGUGAGUUUUAUGUCACUGUGACACAAGAUACAAUCACUGAAAGGGGGGAACCUUAACUGAGAAAAUGCCUCGAUAAGAUCUGGGUGUAGGUCAUUUUCUUAAAUAGCAAUUGAAGGGGGAGAGCCCAGCCCAUUGUGGGUGGUGCCAUCUCUGGACUGGUGGUCUUGGGUUCUAUAAGAAAGCAGACUGAACAUGCCAUGGAGAGCAAGCCAGUAAGCAGCACCCCUCCAUGGCCUCUGCAUCAACUCCUGCCUCCAGGUUCCUACCCUGUUUAUGUUUCUGUCCUGACUUUCUUUGAUGUUGAACGGUGAUAUGCAAGUGCAAGCCAAACAAGCUCUUCCCUAUCC